GUGGGGAAUAUUGGACAAUGGGCGAAAGCCUGAUCCAGCCAUGCCGCGUGUGUGAAGAAGGUCUUCGGAUUGUAAAGCACUUUAAGUUGGGAGGAAGGGCAGUAAGUUAAUACCUUGCUGUUUUGACGUUUCCGACAGAAUAAGCACCGGCUAACUUCGUGCCAGCAGCCGCGGUAAUACGAAGGGUGCAAGCGUUAAUCGGAAUUACUGGGCGUAAAGCGCGCGUAGGUGGUUUUGUAAGUUGGAGGUGAAAUCCCCGGGCUCAACCUGGGAACUGCCUCCAAAACUGCAUGACUAGAGUACGGUAGAGGGUAGUGGAAUUUCCUGUGUAGCGGUGAAAUGCGUAGAUAUAGGAAGGAACACCAGUGGCGAAGGCGACUACCUGGACUGAUACUGACACUGAGGUGCGAAAGCGUGGGGAGCAAACAGGAUUAGAAACCCUGGUAGUCC
rnacentral:rRNA from 1 species